CGGGCCUCUGUGGCUCCAUGGCUACUCUCAGAUCCUCCCUCCUUUUCUUUUUUUUUUUUCCUUCCUUCCUCCCUUGGUUCCUUCCAUUCUUUCUUUCUGUCCUUUAUGGGAGCGCUCCCCAGGAAGAUGCUCAACCAGGAGCUCAUCUUGUCUUCCAGGCCUGGGUGCCCUCCAUAUGACCUGGGAAGUGGGCAGUGGCUGACUUGGAACAGCCACCGUGGGAGAUAAUAAAUGUCUCUGAAUCUUCUUGCUCAGUCACCCCAUUGGAAACAUUGGGAGAUCAAGGCUCAGAAGGAUGCCCUGUUAUUCUGGAAGUUAAUGGAAGGGUCAGGACUGGAAGCCAGCCCCCUGACCUGAAACGUGGGACCAUUCCCAUCAGCACUCACAAGCAGCCACUGCUGAGGUCUAGUCCUUACUACCUAUGGGAGGUGCCCUGGACUCUGGCCUGUCCUCCACAGGACCACCAAAACGUGAUCUGAUGGAGCCUCACCCCGCAGGUGAACCCAUCUGGAUUCGUCCUUGCUUGGUGAGAAAAUGGCCAAUGUCUUUACUUCCAUCAACGAGGCCUUUGCUGCCUGGCCCCAGCCUGUAGCUCCAGCUUCGCCAUCUACCCCACACUGCCUGGCUACUCCUGAUGGAGCCCUGCUCAUGCAGCUCCUUUCCAUUGGGAUGCUCUCCUCAUCCCUCACCCGCCUGCUUUUGCCUGGCUAAUCCCCAGGUAGUGCGCAGAAUGCUGGGCUCCAUACCUAAUCUCUAGAACCUAUGAAUGGGGGAGAAAAAGCCUUUGGAGGUGUAAUUAAAAUAAGAUCUUCAGAUAAAGACAUCGAUCUGGAUUAUCCAGGUGGGCCCUAAAUCCAAUAACAAGUAUCCUUGUAAGAUGAGGCAGAGGGAGAUUUGACAGAGAUAGGGAGGAGGCAACAUGACUUCAGAGGCAAGGGCUGGAGUGACGUGGCCACAAGUCAAGGACUACCAGCCACCACUGGAAGACUGGAGGAAGCUGGAAGAGUCAAGGAAGAAUUCUGCCCCUGAGCCUCCAAAGAAGCACUGCCUUGCUGACACCUCGAUUUCAGACCUCUGGCCUCCAAAACCACGAGAUAAUAAAUAGCCAUUGUUU
rnacentral:lncRNA from 1 species